UCUUCCGCUACUUGGCCAUCGGGGGGUACGUGGGCGCUGCCACCGUGGGGGCGGCCGCCUGGUGGUUCCUCUACGCUGAAGAUGGUCCCAACGUCAGUUACCACCAACUGACCCACUUCAUGCAGUGCACGGAGCACAACGUGGACUUCGAGGGCCUGGACUGUGACAUCUUCGAGUCGCCGGUGCCCAUGACCAUGGCCCUCUCCGUCCUGGUCACCAUCGAGAUGUGCAACGCCCUCAACAG